GACGAACGCUUGCGGCGUGCUUAACACAUGCAAGUCGAACGGAAAGGCCCUGCUUUUGUGUGGUGCUCGAGUGGCGAACGGGUGAGUAACACGUGAGUAACCUGCCCUUGACUUUGGGAUAACUUCAGGAAACUGGGGCUAAUACCGGAUAGGAGCUCCUGCUGCAUGGUGGGGGUUGGAAAGUUUCGGCGGUUGGGGAUGGACUCGCGGCUUAUCAGCUUGUUGGUGGGGUAGUGGCUUACCAAGGCUUUGACGGGUAGCCGGCCUGAGAGGGUGACCGGCGACAUAGGGACUGAGAUACGGCCCAGACUCCUACGGGAGGCAGCAGUGUGGAAUAUUGCACAAUGGGCGGAAGCCUGAUGCAGCAACGCCGCGUGCGGGAUGACGGCCUUCGGGUUGUAAACCGCUUUCGCCUGUGACGAAGCGUGAGUGACGGUAAUGGGUAAAGAAGCACCGGCUAACUACGUG
rnacentral:rRNA from 1 species